GACAGAGGCCCCAAGCGUUAGGCGGAAUCACUGGGCUUAAAGCGUGUGUAGGCGGACGCCUAAGUGUCUUGUGAAAUCCCACGGCUCACCCGUGGAACUGCUGGGCAUACUGGGCGUCUUGGGCCAACUAGGGGCAGCCGGAACAAGCGGUGGAGCGGUGAAAUGCGUAGAUAUCGCUUGGAACGCCGAAGGUGAAAACAGGCUGCUGGGGUUGUGCCGACGCUGA
rnacentral:rRNA from 1 species